UACAGAGGUGGCAAGCGUUGUUCGGAAUUACUGGGCGUAAAGGGCGCGUAGGCGGCCAUCUAAGUCCGACGUGAAAUCCCCCGGCUUAACCUGGGAACUGCGUCUGAUACUGGACGGCUUGAGUGCGGGAGAGGGAUGUGGAAUUCCAGGUGUAGCGGUGAAAUGCGUAGAUAUCUGGAGGAACACCGGUGGCGAAGGCGGCGUUCUGGACUGCAACUGACACUGAGGAACGAAAGCCAGGGGAGCAAACGGG
rnacentral:rRNA from 1 species